ACCUUGCUGGCUCAGUGGGUAGAGCAUGCGACUCCUGAUCUCGGGUUCAUGAGUUCAAGCCCCAUGUUGGGUG
rnacentral:tRNA from 1 species